rnacentral:rRNA from 1 species
CCUAUGAAGCUUGACUGUAUCCUGGAAUGGGGUUCGGGCUCUUCUUGCGCAGCCUAGGUGGGAGGCGAUGAGGGCUUCCUUUCGGGGAAGUCGUAGCCAUCAUUGAGAGACCACUCUGGGAGAGCUAGAAUCCUAAUGGCGAUCCUUGAAUCAGGACGCUUGAAAGUUUCAGGUGGGCAGUUUUUCUGGGGCGGAAAUCUCCCAAAAGGUAACGGAGAUGUGCAAAGGUUCCCUCAGUCUGGACGGAAAUCAGACAAUGAGUGCAAAGGCAUAAGGGAGCUUGACUGCAAGACCUACAAGUCGAGCAGGCUGGAAACAGGGCCUUAGUGAUCCGACGGUUCCGUGUGGAAGGGCCGUCGCUCAACGGAUAAAAGUUACUCUAGGGAUA